rnacentral:lncRNA from 10 species
AGCAAAUGCAUUUAAAAAGGAAACUAUAUUACUUCCACAAAUGAAAAGCUUAUGUUAUUUGCCAAGAAAGGAGGUCUUCAUAAAAUAAAUGCAAAAAUAUUAAAAUUAACAACCACAAUGCACUUAAAACCUAAACUCAUCCCUUGGACCACCUGAGGUGCACACACCACACUUUCCUUUUAUUCCACCAAGCAACUCACCUCAGCCCACCUUUAUUGCUGCAAAUCUCACCAGCGAGUCUUUUCCAUGUGUAUGUAUUUUUCCAGAGUUGGUCAUCUUGUACAUACUUUUGUAAAUACUUUAAAAUAUAUAUAUGUACAUAUAUGUAUAUAUAUGUACAUAUAUAUCUAUAUACACGUAUAUAUAUCCUGAGCAUUUCCGUAUACUUUCAAAUACUAAAUACUUAUUUUCUUUGGAAAGGUAAUUCAUUAAAUGAUACAAAGACUA